UUAGUAGUGGCGAACGAAAAGGAAGGAGCCCAGCGCAGAACGUUCCGGGGCACUCGCCCUGAGAAUGAAUGUUGCGUUAAGGAUAUUGGCAUACACCCAUGGCAGUUACACUUUGCUAAGUCAGCCUCGAAUGGUUCUCGUGAAGCCGGUAACACGGUGAGACUCCAGGGAGGGUGUUAGACCCGUGUGAAGGUGCAAUCUGCUUGGGCAAGCCGAUAUCCCGAGAGUCGCGUUGUUUGAACAUGCAGCGCUAAGCAGGUCGUAGACUCGAUCUAAGGCUAAAUAUGUCCACAGAACCGAUAGUUAACAAGUACCGUGAGGGAAAGUUGAAAAGCACUCCGUAACGGAGAGUCAAAAGACCGUGAAACCACUCAGAGUAUAAGCCAAUGGUGUCUGGAAGGUCCUGUGCUUACAUCUUGGUGUCAAGGACUCAUGCGAACCUCAGCACUUGCGGGAGCAAUCUCCGUUGCUUUGGUAAGCUUGUCCGCUGAAGCACUCCGUUGACCCACCUGGCUCGUUGUGAGGUGUCCUGAGAGCAAAGCGAAGUGUUAAGAUUGGCUUGGAGUUGGGCGUGGGCGUCUCGAUGCCUUUCGCACUCUCCUUUUCGAGCACUUCUUCAGUUCUAUUCGCACAAAGUGUGGUAGUCUUGGAGUGUGCGCUGCUUGACGCUCUCUGGAACCAUCCUCUGCGACGAAGCUUCAAUGCCUUAGUGAGCGGCCGUCUUCCUCCUCGGGAGUCGGUACAUUGGCGCGGCUUGCACACUGUCGGUGCUCCGCUGUUCAACUCUGGCGCAAGGUGUUACGUCCGAUACCAUUGGUCACGUCUCGAAACACGGGCCAAGGAGUAUAGCGUGUGUGCAAGUCUAAGGGUUCCACAAAACCUGGAGGCGUAGUGAAAGCGAGUUAUGGUGUCUCACUGGACUGAUGGAGAAGGCAGUGAUGCGUGAUCCCGCAAGUCCCGGACUCGUCGUCUGCACUGCUUCGGUUGUGUUAGCGCGAGCACCGCAGAGCACAUACGCUAUGACCCGAAAGAUAGUGAACUAUGCUUGGCGAGGGUGAAGCCCCAGGAAACUGGGGUGGAGGCCCGUAGCCGUUGUGACGUGCAAA
rnacentral:rRNA from 1 species